UCAUGCGUUUGAGAUUUUCAGGCAUCAUCUCGGCUGGUGAGUCCGGAAAACAUCUGACAAACCUGGCUAAACCCCACCCAACAGUCUAGUCGUAUUUCCAACCCAAAUCAUUAUGUGACCGCAGAGCAGGUUAAUGGGACUCACGCUACAGAGCAGGUUAAUGGGACUCACGCUACAGAGCAGGUUAAUGGGACUCACGCUACAGAGCAGGUUAAUGGGACUCACGCUACAGAGCAGGUUAAUGGGACUCACGCUACAGAGCAGGUUAAUGGGACUCACGCUACAGAGCAGGUUAAUGGGACUCACGCUACAGAGCAGGUUAAUGGGACUCACGCUACAGAGCAGGUUAAUGGGACUCACGCUACAGAGCAGGUUAAUGGGACUCACGCUACAGAGCAGGUUAAUGGGACUCACGCUACAGAGCAGGUUAAUGGGACUCACGCUACAGAGCAGGUUAAUGGGACUCACGCUACAGAGCAGGUUAAUGGGACUCACGCUACAGAGCAGGUUAAUGGGACUCACGCUACAGAGCAGGUUAAUGGGACUCACGCUACAGAGCAGGUUAAUGGGACUCACGCUACAGAGCAGGUUAAUGGGACUCACGCUACAGAGCAGGUUAAUGGGACUCACGCUACAGAGCAGGUUAAUGGGACUCACGCUACAGAGCAGGUUAAUGGGACUCACGCUACAGAGCAGGUUAAUGGGACUCACGCUACAGAGCAGGUUAAUGGGACUCACGCUACAGAGCAGGUUAAUGGGACUCACGCUACAGAGCAGGUUAAUGGGACUCACGCUACAGAGCAGGUUAAUGGGACUCACGCUACAGAGCAGGUUAAUGGGACUCACGCUACAGAGCAGGUUAAUGGGACUCACGCUACAGAGCAGGUUAAUGGGACUCACGCUACAGAGCAGGUUAAUGGGACUCACGCUACAGAGCAGGUUAAUGGGACUCACGCUACAGAGCAGGUUAAUGGGACUCACGCUACAGAGCAGGUUAAUGGGACUCACGCUACAGAGCAGGUUAAUGGG